rnacentral:rRNA from 1 species
AACGAACGCUGGCGGCAUGCCUAACACAUGCAAGUCGAACGAGACCUUCGGGUCUAGUGGCGCACGGGUUCGUAACGCGUGGGAACCUGCCCUUAGGUUCGGAAUAACUCCCCGAAAGGGGUGCUAAUACCGGAUAAUGUCUUCGGACCAAAGAUUUAUCGCCUUUGGAUGGGCCCGCGUUGGAUUAGCUAGUUGGUAGGGUAAAAGCCUACCAAGGCGACGAUCCAUAGCUGGUCUGAGAGGAUGAUCAGCCACACUGGGACUGAGACACGGCCCAGACUCCUACGGGAGGCAGCAGUGGGGAAUAUUGGACAAUGGGCGAAAGCCGGAUCCAGCAAUGCCGCGUGAGUGAUGAAGGCCUUAGGGUUGUAAAGCUCUUUUACCCGGGAUGAUAAUGACAGUACCGGGAGAAUAAGCUCCGGCUAACUCCGU